AGCCAGAGGACGAGUCUCAAAUAGGACGAAAUGCGCAUCCUGGCU
rnacentral:hammerhead_ribozyme from 1 species